UACGAGGGGUGCAAGCGUUAUUCGGAAUGACUGGGCGUAAAGGGUGCGUAGACGGUAUAUUAAGUCUGUCGUUAAAUUCUUCAGCCUAACUGAAGACCUGCGAUGGAAACUGAUAUUCUGGAGGAUGAAAGAGAGAAGUGGAAUUCUCGGAGUAGCGGUAAAAUGCGUAGAUCUCGAGAGGAACACCAAUGGCGAAAGCAGCUUCUUGGUUCAUUCCUGACGUUGAGGCACGAAAGCGUGGGGAGCAAACAGG
rnacentral:rRNA from 1 species